UACGUAGGGUGCGAGCGUUGUCCGGAAUUACUGGGCGUAAAGAGCUCGUAGGUGGUUUGUCGCGUUGUUCGUGAAAUCUCACGGCUUAACUGUGAGCGUGCGGGCGAUACGGGCAGACUAGAGUACUGCAGGGGAGACUGGAAUUCCUGGUGUAGCGGUGGAAUGCGCAGAUAUCAGGAGGAACACCGGUGGCGAAGGCGGAUCUCUGGGCCAUUACUGACGCUGAGGAGCGAAAGCGUGGGGAGCGAACAGG
rnacentral:rRNA from 1 species